CCCCCUUAAACAUUUCAAGGCAAAACUUGUGGCAUCCCUCUAUUCUUUAAACACACCUCUGUCCAAAUCGAGACCCGGACCCACCCAUUUCAAAUAUUUGCGGUCUGCGAUACCCAGGGGGAAAUAGGCCCCGGUCGCACGUUGUUUCUGGGUAUCAAUUGGGCUGAUUCCCCGACUUCGUUUUCAAUACUACAGUGGAGGAGGAGUACUCAAAGGGUUCACGAUUCAGACGAAGGCUGCGGUGACCUUGCCAGCAGAGGCAAGGGCUGAAAGGUGCCGAGGAAUCUCCGGUGCACGCGAUAAAUAGUUAUUCUUCGGCGGCGUGAGGCGCGAUAGCAUGAACCGCUCCUUCCUCGUCCCAAUUCGAGGGUUGUUGUUCCAUAUCCAGAAUCUCUCCGCCCUGCUCGGUGGUGCGGCGAAACGCUCCUUGCGACGUUGCGAUUGUCGGCUGUCUCCAUGACACCGAGCAGAUUCGGAAGAGCCUUUGCUUGUUGCCAAGGAUUGAACACUGGCAAAAGACACGGGGAGUGAACCAUCAUUCACAAAGCAAACUGGCUCAUUUACUCGAAUUCCCAUUUCGAAAGCGGGAAUGGGGUGGCCACACAAUUAAGUUAAUUUUACAAGAGUGAGAUAAACAAGGUUUGUGGUCCACAAAAAGAUUACGAUGCUCAUGACCAUCAAAGUCAACCAGUCUAACUCUCUAAGCAGAAGCUUCAGCCGAACAAAUGAAGGGUUUCACACCGGGAAGUGUUUCCGGAGAAUUAGCUCAUUACCCAAGAUGGUCAAACUUCUCCUACGGCACGGAAUUGGGCCUUUCCAGCGUGGCACUUGGGGAUAGGCAGAAGGGAAUGACAAACCAACGUGGCAACCUUCUCGCUGUUUGCUUGAUCUCACGCUCUCACAUGCACGUUCCCAACCUUGCUUUGCAGCAAGAUCUUUUCCUCGACCGUCCCGCAUCGGAAACUGUUCUGUCGUGCGUGGAAGGGGGUGAAAUUUAUCAUCCAUCGAGAAGUUGGAUAUAAGGGUCGAGGUUUCUCAUCCAUCGAGCAGAUGGAUUCGGCAGAAACUCCCGCACGCGUUUCUCGAAAGUUCCUUAACCCAAAAGCUGCUGUGUGCACAAGUUUGAGUUAUACGAAAUGGCAAUUAUGUAUGUGUGAAAAAUAUAGUUGCACAAUUGGGAAUAUGUUGAAAGCUAUUACAAAGGAUAUAUUUCUUAAAUAGGAUCAUAUUUUUACCAAA